CCUACGGGAGGCAGCAGUGGGGAAUAUUGCACAAUGUGGGAAACCCUGAUGCAGCGACGCCGCGUGAGUGAAGAAGUAAUUCGUUAUGUAAAGCUCUAUCAGCAGGGAAGAAAAUGACGGUACCUUAGUAAGAAGCCCCGGCUAACUACGUGCCAGCAGCCGCGGUAAUACGUAGGGGGCAAGCGUUAUCCGGAUUUACUGGGUGUAAAGGGAGCGUAGACGGCAGUGCAAGUCUGGAGUGAAAGGCGGGGGCUCAACCCCCGGACUGCUCUGGAAACUGUACGGCUGGAGUGCAGGAGAGGUAAGUGGAAUUCCUAGUGUAGCGGUGAAAUGCGGAGAUAUUAGGAGGAACACCAGUGGCGAAGGCGGCUUACUGGACUGUAACUGACGUUGAGGCUCGAAAGCGUGGGGAGCAAACAGGAUUAGAUACCCGUGUAGUC
rnacentral:rRNA from 1 species